rnacentral:rRNA from 1 species
AGGGUUUGAUCAUGGCUCAGAACGAACGCUGGCGGCAGGCCUAACACAUGCAAGUCGAGCGCACCUUCGGGUGAGCGGCGGACGGGUUAGUAACGCGUGGGAAUAUACCCUUUGGUACGGAAUAGCCUCUGGAAACGGAGAGUAAUACCGUAUGAGCCCUUCGGGGGAAAGAUUUAUCGCCAAAGGAUUAGCCCGCGUUAGAUUAGGUAGUUGGUGGGGUAAUGGCCUACCAAGCCUACGAUCUAUAGCUGGUUUUAGAGGAUGAUCAGCAACACUGGGACUGAGACACGGCCCAGACUCCUACGGGAGGCAGCAGUGGGGAAUCUUGGACAAUGGGCGCAAGCCUGAUCCAGCCAUGCCGCGUGAGUGAUGAAGGCCUUAGGGUCGUAAAGCUCUUUCGCCUGUGAAGAUAAUGACGGUAGCAGGUAAAGAAACCCCGGCUAACUCCGUGCCAGCAGCCGCGGUAAUACGGAGGGGGUUAGCGUUGUUCGGAAUUACUGGGCGUAAAGCGCACGUAGGCGGACUGGAAAGUUGGGGGUGAAAUCCCAGGACUCAACCCUGGAACUGCCUCCAAAACUAUCAGUCUAGAGUUCGAGAGAGGUGAGUGGAAUUCCGAGUGUAGAGGUGAAAUUCGUAGAUAUUCGGAGGAACACCAGUGGCGAAGGCGGCUCACUGGCUCGAUACUGACGCUGAGGUGCGAAAGUGUGGGG